rnacentral:rRNA from 1 species
GAUGAACGCUAGCGGCAGGCUUAAUACAUGCAAGUCGUGGGGCAGCAUGUCCCGCAACAAUGCGGGAUGAUGGCGACCGGCAAACGGGUGCGGAACACGUACACAACCUUCCUUUAAGUGGGGAAUAGCCCAGGGAAACUUGGAUUAAUACCCCGUAAUAUAUAGAAGCGGCAUCGCUUUUAUAUUAUAGCAGCAAUGCGCUUGAAGAUGGGUGUGCGGCUGAUUAGGUAGUUGGCGGGGUAAUGGCCCUCCAAGCCGACGAUCAGUAACUGGUGUGAGAGCACGACCAGUCACACGGGCACUGAGACACGGGCCCGACUCCUACGGGAGGCAGCAGUAAGGAAUAUUGGUCAAUAGACGCAAGUCUGAACCAGCCAUGCCGCGUGGAGGAUGAAGGUCCUCUGGAUUGUAAACUUCUUUUAUCUGGGAAGAAAUCCAUUUUUUCUAAAAUGGUUGACGGUACCAGAUGAAUAAGCACCGGCUAACUCCGUGCCAGCCGCCGCGGUAAAAC